rnacentral:rRNA from 1 species
UGGCGAACGGGUGAGUAACACGUGGGGAAUCUGCCUAUAAGUGGGGGAUAACAUUCGGAAACGGAUGCUAAUACCGCAUAUAUUCAAAAACCGCAUGGUUUCUGAAAGAAAGACGGCUUUACUGUCGCUUAUAGAUGAUCCCGCGGCGUAUUAGUUAGUUGGUGGGGUAAUGGCCUACCAAGACCAUGAUACGUAGCCGACCUGAGAGGGUGAUCGGCCACACUGGGACUGAGACACAGCCCAGACUCCUACGGGAGGCAGCAGUAGGGAAUCUUCCACAAUGGGUGCAAACCUGAUGGAGCAAUGCCGCGUGAAUGAAGAAGGUCUUCGGAUCGUAAAGUUCUGUUAUUAGAGAAGAACAAGUCAAGGAGUAACUGUCUUGACUUUGACGGUACCUAACCAGAAAGUCACGGCUAACUACGUGCCAGCAGCCGCGGUAAUACGUAGGUGACAAGCGUUGUCCGGAAUUAUUGGGCGUG